GGAGGUGUACGGGCGCCUGGUGGCCCCCUCGGUCUUCAAAACCGUAGUGAGCGAGUAUCUCGGUCAGGCGGGUUCGAUUCCCGUCCACCUCCG
rnacentral:tRNA from 3 species